CAGCAGACUUUGUGAAAAUUAAUAUUUGUGUCAUUCUCAAAACUUUUGGCCACGAAGUGGAUUGUGCAUGGAGUCCAAGAUCAUGCAUCUCAUCAAGCUUAUCCAAAAGUGUGGGUCUGCCAUAAUCAACACCAGCAAAAUAUUAAAAGGAAGCCAAAUCAAGAUCAACUGGUAGAGCGCAUUAAAGGAUGUAUGGGAAGUUGGGAAUCUUGCCCGAAUGUUAGAAGGAUGUUACAGGCGAAUGUAGUUGCACCGUCUUCAGUGCUGUUCACUGGUAACACUUUCACAGACAUAAAUUACUAGGCUGAACUAUGUCAAAUACAGUUCCCUUCACAAACAACAUAAUUUUCAACAUACUUUUCAGUCCUCUUAUUUCCUACCCGUCACAACCCAGGAUUACAGAGACGGAAGCAGGAAAAGAUCAUUUCCACUAUGGUUCAGGAUGGAAAUGAAGUGAAGGCUGUCCACAUCUGUGGUGACGGAAGUAAUGACAGCCCUGGCUGGCUACUCCGCUAAAUUUAUGACAUAUAGCUUCAUGGAUGACAAGACCAAGAAAGUCAUUCAAGCUAAUGUGAUUUCGGUCACUGAAGCCACCAGCUCAAUUUCAAUUGAAUCAGUUGGAUUUCGGGGAGAGGACUGAACAGCAUACUGACAGAGGGUGUACCUGUAUCGUUUAUAACUACUCUUGUUCACCAGGGCUGGCACAAUUAUCGUAUAAUCGUGUAACAGACAAUUAUGGACAA